GACGAACGCUGGCGGCGUGCUUAACACAUGCAAGUCGAACGGUAAGGCCCUUCGGGGUACACGAGUGGCGAACGGGUGAGUAACACGUGGGUGAUCUGCCCUGCACUUCGGGAUAAGCCUGGGAAACUGGGUCUAAUACCGGAUAGGACCCUGGGAUGCAUGUCCUGGGGGGGAAGGUUUUUGCGGUGUGGGAUGGGCCCGCGGCCUAUCAGCUUGUUGGUGGGGUGAUGGCCUACCAAGGCGACGACGGGUAGCCGGCCUGAGAGGGUGACCGGCCACACUGGGACUGAGAUACGGCCCAGACUCCUACGGGAGGCAGCAGUGGGGAAUAUUGCACAAUGGGCGCAAGCCUGAUGCAGCGACGCCGCGUGAGGGAUGACGGCCUUCGGGUUGUAAACCUCUUUCAGCACCGACGAAGCGCAAGUGACGGUAGGUGCAGAAGAAGGACCGGCCAACUACGUGCCAGCAGCCGCCGUAA
rnacentral:rRNA from 1 species